rnacentral:rRNA from 1 species
AACGCUAGCUACAGGCUUAACACAUGCAAGUCGAGGGGAAACGACAUCGAAAGCUUGCUUUUGAUGGGCGUCGACCGGCGCACGGGUGAGUAACGCGUAUCCAACCUGCCCGUCACUUGGGGAUAACCUCGCGAAAGUAAGACUAAUACCCGAUGAUAUCUCUAGAAGGCAUCUGAAAGGGAUUAAAGAUUUAUCGGUGAUGGAUGGGGAUGCGUCUGAUUAGCUUGUUGGCGGGGUAACGGCCCACCAAGGCAACGAUCAGUAGGGGUUCUGAGAGGAAGGUCCCCCACAUUGGAACUGAGACACGGUCCAAACUCCUACGGGAGGCAGCAGUGAGGAAUAUUGGUCAAUGGGCGAGAGCCUGAACCAGCCAAGUAGCGUGCAGGAAGACGGCCCUAUGGGUUGUAAACUGCUUUUAUAAGGGAAUAAAGUGAGCCUCGUGAGGCUUUUUGCAUGUACCUUAUGAAUAAGGACCGGCUAAUUCCGUGCCAGCAGCCGCGGUAAUACGGAAUGUCCGGGCGUUAUCCGGAUUUAUUGGGUUUAAAGGGAGCGUAGGCCGGAGAUUAAGCGUGUUGUGAAAUGUAGACGCUCAACGUCUGCACUGCAGCGCGAACUGGUUUUCUUGAGUACGCACAAAGUGGGCGGAAUUCGUGGUGUAGCGGUGAAAUGCUUAGAUAUCACGAAGAACUCCGAUUG